rnacentral:lncRNA from 1 species
CUCUGAAUGGCCCACUGAUGCACCCACAGGUAACUCUGCAGUUGACCAGUUCCAGCCAUUCUACCUUGCCAUAGCUAUCAAUGGCGAUUCCUUUAAAUCAAGGUAUCACUGCUUCCAGAAUCAGUCUGUGACUGGCUUAAGUGUGGAAUGGGACAUUUUACUUAUUUAAAUAGUCUUUAUUAUUGGUGAGUUCUAGUCGUGGAUUUCCCUUCAGCAGGGCACUGCUAGGGAUUCUGGGCCCCAUGAAAAGAAUUUUUACACGGCCCCCAACACAGAGGGCCACAUUUUUUAUGCUUUUUCUAAUUAAUUAUUUACUGAUGUUGAGAGUGCAUGCAACAGUCAGGUAACAGUGAGAGAGCCCUCUGCUGGAUCAAAUGGCAAACUACCUCAGACAGCCUGGUGCUCUGGUAUACUGUAUAAUUUGAAUUCAAACUGUUAGUUACAAUUCAGAUGUGUGCUCCCCUCUAACACACUAAAAUCUCAUCACAUGAUGGUUUUCAGCCUAACUUUGUUCUAACAUCAGUUUUCUCCAAAUCUCCCUGUCUCUCUUUGUCUGUUGUUGUUGCAAUGAACCCUUGUUGGCAUCCAUUUAACUGUUUGACAACAUCUGCUUCACAGCAGGCUAUUACGUCAUGGCUCUCCACAAAAUCUCCUGGAUUUCAUAGACACAGCAGGAGACCUGAAAGUAAUUAUUUAUUAUAUCUAAUCAGUGCUGUGACAAUAAUCCUCCAAGCAGAUCAGGUGAGUAAAAUAAUUUCCAAUACAACUCAAAAUUUUGUAAAAUAAUCUUCAGAACAAGCAGAAAAAUUUGCCUUGUAGUGUGUACCCUUGUAAUGAAUAACAAUUUCAUCAUUCCUGCUACUGAUUCUGGGUCUGACAACUGCUGUAAAAGGACUCCAGUUCCCAGAUUAAUGUUGCAUAGCUGGCACUGUGACUGGAGGCUGCAAUGUAAAUGGAUAAAAAUAAUAUUCAGUGAUUACCGAUGCAGAGCGAUCUGCUGCAGGAUUAAUGCGUUAGACAUCUCACAAAUGCAAAGCAAGACUCAUCACUGUUUUACUUCCCACUACGCCUAAGUAAGGCCUAAGCAGGGAGUGAUGAUUGCUGCUGUGUUCAGCUCUGCACGGAUGAGAUGUGAUGUGAGAAAGAGACUGAGAGAUUUUUCAGUGGUGAGGAAAAGGCUCAGACUUCAAAGGUGUGUCAGGACAUGCAGCACUCUGGCAGCGUGGCAUUGAUGCCAGCCCUGUGUGGCCAUGUAAAUUUCAUGACAUCCAUCCACCAAGCUAUCUACUUAUCAGCCUACAUUCUUGCAUUUCCAUGAUUUUUUUUACUCUUUCUCAGAGGGUUUGUCCUAAAAAAACACUCAACCCCGUACACAAAGAUUUAUUAAAGUGCACUUCACACCCAUGCAUGCGCAUUCACACGUCUUUUUCCCUCUGUGGUCCUCCCAUUGGUGUAUUGUGUUUCUCUUAAGCUUGCCAGCUGUCAAAUGCAAGCCAAAGCUUCUCUCCACCGCUUUAUUUCACCCCUCCUCUCCACCUCUCUCACCCAGUUGGCCUCAGUCUCCCUCACCUCUGUAGCAUUCACCUCUCCAGCUCUCUGAACCCAGAUCCUCUCUCUGGGGCCAGCCUGUCAAGGUGAACUGGGCCUGAGAUCUGUUUGUUUCUGUGAGAGAGAGAGAGAGGGAAGCUCAGAGAGAGCAGUGAGCAGGGCUGGAAAGUCUAAAAAACCACCAUAAUGGAAAUGGAAGUCCUGCUUUACAUUCAGUGGAGUAGCAACAGAAAACGAAUGAGCUGCUUCUUUAAAGGAAAGACACAUGUCACAGUGAAUGCUGUGCACACUCCAUUUUUAAGUACUUUCUCAUUUUUAAAGCUUUGCAAAAUCAGACAUCACACCUUUUUGUAAAUCUUUGUUUUUAUCUGCAUUAUUUUUCCACAUUUCACCAUGAAACGUUUUAGCAAAUGAUACUGUUUUUAACUGUAAUUAGCGCUGUGCAGCUUAAACCUAUUAUCAAGCUCUGAAAUGAUCAUCACUAUCAUUUUAUUUGUUUGUUUUUAUUAUAGUUAGUUUUUAAUGGUAUUUUUUGGAACGUAAUCUUAGGAUAGCUUUUUUUUAACAAACUGAUGUUUUUUUUUCUAAUAAAAAAAACUGUUCUGUAGACAGUCACUUUUUCAAACUUUAACAUCUCUUUUGACACACUAUUGUGGCGUUUUACACAUGCAUGUCUUAGCUGCAUCUCUGCACCCUUGGUUGCUGUUGAUGAUGUCAAAGUAGAAUUUGGAAAGGUGAAUUUUUAUAUAAGAGAUAUAAGAGAUUCACCAAAGCAGAGUCAUGAUGACAAAAACUCCAGCCCCUUGAAUCCUAAAGGAAGCUGCAACCAGCAGUUCAGAGCAGGUGAGCAGGAUUUAAGUACUCGUGGAAUUAUAGGAACACGAAACUAAGUUACAAGCCCCACAUGUGAGUGCUUUAUAUUAAGUUUUCUGUAAAAAAAAAAAAUCAGUAGACAUGCUUCAGUGUGUCUUCUCUCACUUCUGUCAUUAUUUACUUUUUAUUUAUCUAUUUUAUUGUUUAUUUGAUGUGGACAUCACAAUUACAUUGGACAAACCAGAUGCAUUGUUUGAGUGUUUUAGCACAUGUGCUAAUUCGCAACACUUGUACACAGGAGGCUUUUGAAGUAACAAAAGUAAUAAGAAAAUAAAAGGAGAGGGGAAAAAAGGAAUGCAGUGUACAAUAACAUUACAACAGUAAAAGACAGACAGUUUUUUUUCUGAUUAAAUACAUACAUAAGCUACAAAGCAAAGGCAAAACCAAAGACAACAUGGUCAACCAUUAAACCAGUUUAAGACAAAUCGUGUGUGCACUGUUGUUUUGAUUUUAGCCACUGUUUGAGUCCUUCGUAAAAAGCAUUACUGUUGGUCUCUGAUUUCAGAGUAGUGGGUAGAGAGUUUCAAAGUUUCGCUCCCUUUACGGAAAGAGCAGACUGACAGAAUGAAGUCUUGCAUCUUGGGACAAGACAAUCAACACUGGUGGAGGCUUGUGUGGCCGCUCGGUGAGAGCUCUGACGCCUGGUGGCCAAUUCAGAGAAUUCAGAGAACAGAGGUGACAAAUUAUUUAGACAUUUAAAAAACAGUUUAAGAGUACUAAAAUUCAUAAAAUUUUCAAAGGUGAAAAGGUUGUAUUUUCUUAAAAUGUGUUAGUAAUACAUUCUCAUUGGUUUCCAGUCCAUGAGUUUUAUUGCCUGCUUGUAUAUUGAGAUUAUAGGUUUUAAUGUGGUUGAAGAAACUUGUGACUAUGUUGUGAUGCAAUAUGACACAUGAGAAAAAAUCAUUGCAUGCAUGUACAAUUUGCAGCUUGAUGUGGCAGGUUACUUCUUAUAAAACGAAAGCAGUUAACAUUUGGUCUAACCUUGUUGCAGAUAUCUUUAAUCUGACUAUCAAACUAUUAGUUUUUGUCCAAGAUAAUGCCUAGGUACUUGACUUCAUUCACUUCAUCAAUGCUUUCCUUCUUAAUGCUGACCUCAAAUACAUUGUGUGCGGGCCAAUUACGGAUGGACAAGCACAUGGAUACAGUUUUUUCUUUUUACAUUAAGAGUUAGAUGAGAUAAUUCGAGCCAUUCAGAGAUGUUCAAUAAAGCCUGAGUUAGAUGCUCACCUGCCAGGCUGGGUGUUUUAUUGAACACAUGGAUGACCGUGUCAUCAGCGUACAUCUGGCAGUUGACAUUUGGACAGCAGCUUGGUAGAUCGUUAAUAUACAUUGUGAACAACAAUGGACCUAGAACAGACCCUUGCGGUACUCCUAUGCUGUUUGCACUCAUAUGUGACUUCCCCCCAUUGACCCUAACGCUGUCUCCCCCCUCCCCUAGGUAUAACUACUUUAGAGCUGCAGGUGAUAUUUUGAAUUGAUUUAGUUUAUUGAGUAAAAUACUGUGGUUAACAGUUUCAAAGGCCUUUUUUUAGAUCCAGGAACACUGUCCCUACAACAUUUCCUUUGUCCGAGAGGCUUUGAUCUUCUCAAGCAGAUAACAGUUUGCUGUUUCUGUGGAAGAUUUUUGUCUAAAUCCAAAGUGUUCCAUUAAUUGUUCAGCUACAAUCUUCUCCAGAACUUUUGACUACAGGGAGGAUGGCAAUGGGCCUAUAAUUACUUACUAAGUCUUUGUCUCCUGAUUUAUAAACUGGGGUAAUUAUUGCAGUUUUCCAGCUCUCUGGGAAGAUUUUUGUUUGUAAUGAAAGGUUUACUAAAUAAGUGAUUGCCUCCAACAGACAGCUCAGAUGUUUUUGAUAAAUGCAGCAUUUAGGCUUUGGAUAUCCUUAGACAUGGAGUUCCUCAUGUUUGCAAUCACUUUUUUAACUUUAUCAUGGGAUACCUCUUUUAUAUAAAAGGAGUCUGUGUGAGCAUGGUCAAAUUCUUCAGGAGUUGACUCAGUAGAUUUAAAAUUUAUUGCUACACAUGUAUUUAAGAAUUGAUAAUUGAAUUUUCCUUCGGGGAUCAAUAAAGUUCUUCUUAUUUGCCCUUUCACAACAUUUCAAGUGUUAUAUCUUCCUUACAAAGUUGCAGUAUGACAGCGAUACAGUACAUGUAACACACUUACUCUUUAAAAUACCCCCCACCCCCACCCCAAACAGUAUGAUGAGAUUCUUCAGAGAUUUCAAUUAUUAUUAGUACUAGUAGCAUUGUGAUAUUAUAUACAAGGAGAACGCCCACAACAAACAUUCCUUUUUCAAGUAUUUAUUUAUAACAACAACAAAAAACCUGAGCCAGAGUAGCAGAUGUUUAAAAAACUCCAAUCAUUGUUUUGUUUUGUUUUUUCUUUUGGCUUGUCCCAUUGAAUUCACUGCAAAAUGUCCCUGCAAUUUUUUGCAACUCAAAUUGCAUGAAUUUCCAGUAAAGUUCUUCUUAUCUUAUCUUAACUUAUCUUUCACCAAGGUUCAUUUUUAUGCAUGUUACUGAGAUUUGUACCAAGUUAAAAUUUGCCUUUUUUUUUAUUUUCAUUCAUUCAUUUAUUUAUUGUUAUGCCUUACUGACCCCCUUACAGCAAAAAAUAAUGCAUUACAGUUGUUGUAUUACAGUGAUGGAAUUACUGUAAUACAAUAACCUUUCCACUCCUACAGGACACAUUUGCUUGUAUUUUUUUCACAUUUCUACAAAUAAUACCUUUUGCAAAUUUUUUAACUAUUUUUUUGCAUACAUUUUUACAACGGAAACACCAUACCAUUGGGGAAUUUUUGCCUUUUUGCUUCUCAUCCACUUUUUUGGGCUCACAAUAUCUGCAUACUUCAACCUACAGACCUUGUUUUUGCUUUAAAUUGUUCUUAUCUUUUCAACUACAAAAUUAUGACUUCAUUCUCAUAAAUUCAUGACUUAUUUCUUGUAAAAUUCUAACUUUUUAUGAUAUUGUGGCUUUUUUCUCAUAAAUUUAUGACUUUAUCCUCUUAAAAUUAUGAUUGAUUCUCGAAGUCUGUAAAGAAAAAAUUCUCAAUGCAGUCUUAAUACUCUGUCAUAGUAUGACUUUGACACAACUGUUUUUAUAGCAGUCACGGCUAAAUCAUUCAAUGACUACAUGCAUGUAAGAACAGUGACAUCUACACACUGAGGUAUGUUGCUGUUUUUUUUUUUUUUUUUUAUGAACAGGCUGAUUUUUGCUCACUUGCCCAAGGAAGUAAGGACUAUAUAAACCGUGAAGCUAGUGUAACAUUUCUCACAAACUGAUUUUGUGGUACACGGCUGAGGACUUUCCCACUCCAUAAAGUUCAACAUCAGCUGUAUGUGGAUAUGAUUUAACAUCAAUAGGCUGAGCGCACACAACAUGGCUCUGGAUAGCAGUGCAUGGAGAUGUUCUCUCAUUCACAAUGAAGCUCAAACAUAGAGAUAACUGCACAGGGCGGCAAAACUUCAUCAAAAAAUAAGCAGCGAUGAUAUUUAAGUGCAGAAAUGAAUUAAACCUUGAGACAGGGCAGAUAGCGAGGAAAUGAUGCGCACUUCCUGGUGUUUGCUCUUUGUGGAUUACAACCUAUGUGCCUAAUAAAAGAAUUAUAAUCACUCUCCCAUCAUUGUUGCAUGAUGAAUCAGAAUUUUAAGACUCCCAUUUCUUCUCUUGGAAUUAUUUUUGUGGAAGUUAAAGAAACAAUAAUUCAGCUAUAUGGCCUUGACAGAAUCAAAUGAAGCUUUAUAUGGAUUUGAUGUUGUUUUAUUUCAAUGUUUAUUACAGUGUGCAUUUGAGAAAUUGGAGAAUUAAAGUUUUUUUUCAUGAAAUUUUAGUCUUCACCUGUUGGGUUGAAAUAGAUACGAGUUAUAGCCUCAGAACACUGAGCAGAAGCAGCUUUCAUUUGUAAGAAGAAAUGAAAGACAAGGACAUGGGAAAAGGAUAUGCUGACUUUCCUGCACAGUAAUCCCAGCUGACUGUAUCCCUCAGGGUGUGUUUCCUUUCUGCAAAAAAAGAAGAAAAAGAAGGACACUCUCAGCUCUGGUUUUGUGUAACUCUGGACCUGCAGGGUUGUAACACAAACCAGCCUCAGUUUGUGGAGAGGUCUCUGAAAACAAGGUCUAGUUUGUCCCAUCUGCUUUGACUCCACAACAAAUAGCCACUCCAUGUCACUAAUAUAAGCAAAAUGCAUUUCAGUCAACCCCUUUGUGAAUGGUAAUCUGAUAUUAUCCACACCCACUGAAGUACAAGUUUCACGUGCACAACUUGACUGACACAGUGAUCAUUCUUCCUACAUGUACUUUACUGUUCACACAAGUCCUGACACAAAACGCUUGCUGCUCUAUACUUGGUGUUCUUGGUGGUUUCGACUCAUUUUUGAAAACCUCUAAACUUUUAAACCAGAAACACGAUCUUUUCAACAAUGUCGUGGUGCAUCAGAACUCUUUUGCAUGUUUGCAAAAGGUAACAUCCAGUCAUUUCAUCCAGCCACUACCAGUUAACCUGGUUCUACAAUUUGAUAAAGGUUGAUGGUUGCAAUGCCAAACUCGAGGCUUUAAAAAAGGUGGUGUGCUAACUCUGGUCAUGUAAGGGUGCCAGAGGUUGCAGUUCUUUAGGUGUUCAAUUACAGUAAGGCCAACUGCAAAACCCACAUGCUUUCCUGUUCUUAAUAACUCAAUUUUAAAUUAAAAUAAAGAUGUAAACUGCUUCGUGAAGGUCAUUCUGGUCUGAAGUUAAAUAUACCUUUAUAAUUCAUUAGUUUUGGAGAUAGUAGGUUUGUAUAAGUGAAAAAUGGGUGCUUUUUACUAGUAGGGGUUAGCACAGCGGUCCGGGACAGUGUGGUAUGCUACUAUUGUCAAAUGUUAAGAUACCCAAAUAACCAAUCCGAUACUGUAGGGGGUACCAAGUGGACCUAUGUGCAGAACUAUACUUUUAAAAUGAUUUAACUCCCUUAAUGCAUCCCAUCUCUGUUGUUGGUGCGUUUCUGUUUAUAUUAGGGGAUGCUUUGGGAAGUCGGGGGUUGGUCCGUUGGUUCUUUAUUCACCAAGAGACGCCAGCUGAGCAGCCAGAGGGGUACAGAGAUUAAAGCAAAGGGAGGGAGAGAUAGCACAGUAGAAAUCUUACUGUAACCUGAUCCAAUACAUGCUGCAAACAUUGUUCUUUCCAACUCCUUUCUGGCUACUUUGCAUGUUGCGUCUUGUACAAAACAACUGUCCCAGAAAUACCCUGAAAAUAAAAGUAGCAAGCAAACUAACUCACCGACGCGGUAUCAACCAAGAACUGAAUCAACCUCUCCACAAGAUCUUCAACCUGAGUCUACAGCUGGGGCGGGUACCUGCUCUGUGGAAAACAUCCUGCAUUGUGACAAUACCAAAAACAAAAUGUCCUGCUGAACUCAAUGACUACAGACCAGUGGCCCUCACUUCACACAUCAUGAAAACCCUGGAGUGACUGAUUCUACGCCUUCUGAGGUCUGAGGUCAAAGACAAACUGAACUCCUGCAGUUUGCAUACAAAGAACACAUUGGAGUGGAUGAUACUGUCCUCUACAUGCUUCACCGUGCCCUGUCUCAUCUGGAGGAACCUGGGGUUUAUGUGAGGAUCAUGUUCUUCAACUUUUAAAGUGCAUUCAACACCAUCCGACCCACCAUACUCAAAGACAAGCUCACAGAGAUGGGAGUGGAUCCUUCCUGUGUUUUCUGGAUCACAGAUUACCUGACAGGAAGGCCACAGUUUGUCAGGCUGCUGAACUAUGUUUCUGGGACAUUAAUGAGCAGUACAGGGACUCCACAAGGGACAGUGCUGGUGCCAUUCCUGUUCACACUGUAUACGUCAGACUUCAAAUACAGUACUGAGUCCUGCCACAUCCAGAAAUACUCAGAUGACACCGCUAUUGUGGCAUGUAUCAGAAAUGGACAAGAAGCUGAAUACAGAGAUCUAAUAAGAGCCUUCAGUGACUGGAAUCACAAAAACUGCGUCCUCCUCAACACCUCAAAGACAAAGGAGAUGGUCAUAGACUUCCAUAGAUCCAAACCCCCUCUUCAGCCAGUGAACACCUGUGGAGUGGACAUCGAAGUGGUGACAUCAUAGAAAUACCUAGGUGUACAUCUGGAUAAUAAGUUGGAUUGGUCUAAGAAUAUGGACUUCAUGUACAGAAAGGGGCAGAGCCCCCUCUUUUGCCUGAGAAAACUCUGAUCAAUAGACAUCUGUAGUAAGAUGCUGCAGAUGUUUUAUCAGUCUGUGGUGUCUACAGUGUUCUGUUCUACGCUGCAGUCUGCUGGGGAGGAAGCAUCAAACACAAAGAUGAAGACGGAGAUGGAGAAAGGGCCAAUGGUGGUGGACGGCUCCUCUCUCUUCGCUGCAGGACAGAGAGAUUCAGGAGAUCUCUUGUACCAACAGCCAUCAGACUUUAUAACUCUUGUGAUAACUCUAACAGUUAUCUAUUAUUUACAAUUUACAAAGUUUAUUUACAAAGUUAUUAGCAGUAAAGUUAUUCUUAUUCUUAUUUUGUUUCCCUUUUAUUAGUUUUAUUCACCUAUUUGGUCAUUUCUAUACUCAUUUUGUUGAUCUCACACAACACACACACACACACAUACACACACACACACACACACAAGAACAUGAAUUAAAAAUUCAAAUUGUCAAAAUUGAAAAUCCCACAAAGUGCCUACCUAUUUAUUUGAUUAUAUGUCAUCUUACCCUAACAACAUUUUGUCGCUGUUGCAUGCUUCCUCACUUAUCUUGUAUUGUUUCAUAUCACCAAAUGAAAUUCAAUAGAUUUAAAAAGAUAAAAAAUAAAUAAAUAAAUAAAAUCAAUGUGAAAUAAGACUUUUUUUACACCGAAGUAUGGAUUGAGCCUUAGCUUGGACAAGCAUUUAUAGAGUAAAACCAUGGUAUAUUUAAUUUAAAGCUAACACAGAGUGAACACAGCACUCUACUUUUUGUUUUACUUCUGUUUUUGGACAACAUACACUGACCAUGCCCACAGUCUGCACAGUCUGAUAUGUUAACUUGCACCCCAAAAUCAAAAUCAAGCUUUCUCUGAACUGAAAGCACCUUCAAGAUCGAAGCUUACUGUACCAAACUACAACCUUUUCUGGAAUCAUCUACCAGUCCAGGUCCAGGGGUCAAACACCCUUUCUGAUUUUUGGAGUAGACUUAAUAUGUUCCUCUUUGAUAAAGCUUAUAGCCAGACCUGCUGCAGGUCUGGAUCAGUCCUUGGUUUUGCUGCUACAGGUUUAGACUGCUGGGUGUUACUGGGUGUUACUGGUACACUGAUCUCCUUGCCCACCUUCUCCACCUCUUUCUGUCUGUGUCUUUAACCCCCCCCAGAAUGCAGCUUUAAUCCCUUAAAGAUUAUAAACUCAUGAUUUCCCUCUCCACAGGCCAACCACAGCCGGACCUUUGUCUCUGGGCUAAUUGUGAUCAUGUGUGACAGUCAGAGGAUGAAGCCCAGCAGAAGAUGAUGUAUUUUCUGCUCCUGAUCCGACUGCAAUCUUCAAACUGCACUGGAUGGCCAAACACUGUACUGUUUAUGCUGUUUUGAUGUUUGUUUCCUGGACAGACUGAAGGAGGAGUGAAGAAAAACAUCAACCACUUCCCCAAUCAGCCUUUCAUAUACUGUAUUUGGUAUACAUCACAUCAAAUUGGGAAAUGUACUCAUUAUUCUUGGGAAUAAUGAGUGAAUUACUUGGGCCAUUUGUUUUAUAGCUUAUCACCUACUUUGACAUUUUUACACUCUUUGUAGAUGAAUAUCAGGACCAGUGAUUCCCUGCAUACUGUGCUUUGUGUCAGGUUGCCAAGAUGUUGCAUCAUGAAUCAAAAAUCACUGAUCCAAAGGAGACAUUUCCCAACAAAAGACAAUAACUCACACUGUUUGCCUUAGUGGCAGUGAUAGCUGAGGCACGGAGUGACGGAUGUAUUCACCUUUUUUAUGACUUUCCAUGGCUCUGAACUAGAAUUAAUGUUUAUUUCAAAUAUGUUCACUCACAGAGUUGGCAACAAACCAAACCAUAAACCAGCAGC